CGAAAUGCGAUAAGUAAUGUGAAUUGCAGAAUUCAGUGAAUCAUCGAAUCUUUGAACGCACAUUGCGCCCGCCAGUAUUCUGGCGGGCAUGCCUGUUCGAGCGUCAUUACAACCCUCAGGCCCCCGGGCCUGGCGUUGGGGAUCGGCGGAAGCCCCCUGCGGGCACAACGCCGUCCCCCAAAUACAGUGGCGGUCCCGCCGCAGCUUCCAUUGCGUAGUAGCUAACACCUCGCAACUGGAGAGCGGCGCGACCACGCCGUAAAACACCCAACUUCUGAAUGUUGACCUCGAAUCAGGUAGGAAUACCCGCUGAACUUAAGC
rnacentral:misc_RNA from 1 species